GACAGAAUGAGCAAAAAUAUACAUACAUAUUGGUGUUAUCGCUUCCUGUCACAUGACUAGUGCAAACGGCAAGGUGAAAAUAAGGCCCUUAUCGUGUUUCCCCAGUACUUGAUAAAAUGGCAUAACUGCUUCCAAACUCAAGACAUGAAAGGCUGCGCUUGAAAGAGCUCUGCAAUUAAGAAGAUUUGGUUCAAAGCAAAAGCCCAUUGGUUGAUGUUUUACACUGAUGUGAUAAUGUUUACACAGAUGUGCUUUGAAAGCUCGAUUAUGAAGGAUUUUUUGGGUCCAGCCACAUGACAGGCUCCUGUUAUUUGAAAGGUAAACUUAUAUAACAUCUAUCUGCAACAGCUUUUCCAACAAGUCUGCCAGCUCUCCCUCUCGCUCCCUGCUUUGGAAGUGAUUUAUCUGAUCAUUGUAUUUAACAUUAUUUUCGUUUUGAGGUUUUAAAUCCUUCCACAAUAAAUCACUUGCUUUCAACAA